UGGGGAAUAUUGGACAAUGGGCGAAAGCCUGAUCCAGCAAUGCCGCGUGAGUGAUGAAGGCCUUAGGGUUGUAAAGCUCUUUUACCAGGGAUGAUAAUGACAGUACCUGGAGAAUAAGCUCCGGCUAACUCCGUGCCAGCAGCCGCGGUAAUACGGAGGGAGCUAGCGUUGUUCGGAAUUACUGGGCGUAAAGCGUACGUAGGCGGUGACUCAAGUCAGAGGUGAAAGCCUGGAGCUCAACUCCAGAACUGCCUUUGAAACUAGGUCGCUAGAAUCACGGAGAGGUGAGUGGAAUUCCGAGUGUAGAGGUGAAAUUCGUAGAUAUUAGGAAGAACACCAGUGGCGAAGGCGGCCAACUGGCUCGAUACUGACGCUGAGGUGCGAAAGCGUGGGGAGCAAACAGGAUUAGAUACCCACGUAGUCCCUGAGCGGGCUGGCAAGGCGCAU
rnacentral:rRNA from 1 species